UGUGGUCAAGUUAUUAAGGGUAUAUGGGGGAUGCCUUGGCAUUAGAAGCUGUUGGCGUGGAAGUCUGCGAAAAGCCUGGGGGAGGUGACAAACAACCUAAGAACCCGGGAUUCUAACGUAAACCUGGUGAACUGAAACAUCUAAGUAACCAGAGGAAGAGAAAGAAAAAUCCAUUCCUUUAGUAGCGGCGAGCGAAACAGGAAUAGCCCAAACCGAGAGGGUUUCCCUCUCGGGGUUGUAGGACCCGCAAUAUGUAGUUGAUAGCGUAGUAGAAUAAACUGGAAAGUUUAACCGUAGAGGGUGACAGUCCCGUACACGAAACGCGAUUCAACGCUAGCGGUGCUCCUGAGUAGGUCGGGUCACGUGAAACCCUGACUGAAUCUACGGGGACCAUCCCGUAAGGCUAAAUACUCUCUAAUGACCGAUAGUGUACUCAGUAGGGUGACUGAAAGGUGAAAAGAACCCCUGUUAGGGGAGUGAAAUAGAAUCUGAAACCAUAUACUUACAAGCGGUUGGAGCACUAUACCAUUUAUGGGAUGUGUGACAGCGUGCCUUUUGCAUAAUGAUCCGGCGAGUUACUGUCUGCGGCACGGCGAAGGUCUUACGGACCACAGCCUCAGGGAAACCGAGUCUUAAUAGGGCGCAUAGUCGUUGGUAGUAGACGCGAAACUGAGUGAUCUAUCCAUGAGCAGGUUGAAGCGCGGGUUAUACUGCGUGGAGGACCGAACCCACUUGGGUUGAAAACCGAGGGGAUGACUUGUGGAGAGGAGUGAAAGUCUAAUCAAACUCAGAGAUAGCUCGUUCUCUUCGAAAUAGCUUGAGGGCUAGCCUUGAGCCACUAUGAAUCGGGGGUAGAGAGACUGAAUUAGAUGGGGGCCCUUCCCGGGGUACCCCACUAAACCAAACUCCGAAUACCGAUUUAUGUAUCUCAGGAGUCAGUCCGCGGGGGAUAAGCUUCGCGGUCGAGAGGGAAACAACCCAGACCAUCUGCUAAGGUCCCUAAGUAGUACUCAGUCACUAAGGAAGUUGAUUUGCUGAGACAGCCAGGAUGUUGGCUUAGAAGCAGCCACCAUUUAAAAAGUGCGUAACAGCUUACUGGUCGAGCAUUUCUGCGCCGAUAAUGAACGGGAGUAAGUACUACACCGAAGCAGUGGAUUGCAAUUUAUUGCAGUGGUAGAAGAGCGCUGUACGUCAGCAAGCCGUACCGAAAGGAGCGGUGACGGGAUGUACAGGUGAUUAUGCCGGAAUGAGUAACGAUAAAGCAGGUGAGAAUCCUGCUCGCCGAAAGCCUAAGGUUUCCUGGGGAAGGCAAUUCCGCCCAGGGUUAGC
rnacentral:rRNA from 1 species